CAAGCACAUGCCGUGCAUCGCGCGCGCGCUCUAACGUCGGAGUAGAGUGUUACCUGCGGCGAGCCAGUUGCCGUUUUUCUUUCUCGGGCCAGCGCGGUGCCUUUGCGCCGGCACUGGCGGCAAGCAUGCGGCAAGAGCAGGCAGGCUGAGUGUUAUCGCGGUCGCUGCUUCCGUCAGGCCCCCAGCGACCGUGAUAUGCGCAGCCUACCGCAUAUGCUUACCGCCAGUGAUCUUGGCUUUGCCGUGGACGGGCAUCGAGAUUAAGUGCGCUUGCUGCAUUGUUGCUGUCGAUAGCGCCCUGCUCCCUGCCUCUGGUUCGCCGGUACCCGUGUGUGCAGCUAAAGACGCCGACGCUCUGGGCAAUGAAAUCUGCGGAGUCAUCGAGGAUGCCCCGCCCCUUACUUCAACCCGUGGCCUUGUGACGUCACCAGCAAGUUACCCUAUAAAGACUACACCGUUCCUGAUGAACUUCAGUGGGCACGGCGAAAGCGCUGGGCGCAGGUCACUCACCAUGCGUUUCGUUGUCGUCUUACAGGUGGCACAAUGAAGCGCGAUCCGGCUGUCAAGUUCAAUCGCCCAUGCAGUUGUCGCCAGAAGGCCACCAUUGGACGCGUACUCUCUUGGCGAACAGAUUAAACGCAGGAAGCCCUUCUUUGGGAAGGCCGUUAUGCACGAAAAUAUUAUUUUUUUUUUAUUUCCUUAAGGCGAAAGACGGAAGCUGUAGCCAGGGAACAGUUUGAGCAGAAAAUAGGAGGGCCUGUUUUGCAGGUUGGUCUCAUUGUGCAUCUGAAGCAACCAUGGCUGUGUGCCAGCCCUGACUUUUCAAGUAUGAAGACCGAACAACUCUGCUGGAAAUUAAGUGCCCGUACUCCAGGAAAGACGAUGUACUUAUCGACCACACCAAG